AGUAACCUGCCUUGGAGUGGGGAAUAACAGCUGGAAACAGCUGCUAAUACCGCAUAAUAUAUCUGGGUCGCAUGGCUCUGGAUAUCAAAGAUUUAUCGCUCUGAGAUGGACUCGCGUCUGAUUAGCUGGUUGGCGGGGUAACGGCCCACCAAGGCGACGAUCAGUAGCCGGACUGAGAGGUUGGCCGGCCACAUUGGGACUGAGACACGGCCCAGACUCCUACGGGAGGCAGCAG
rnacentral:rRNA from 1 species